rnacentral:rRNA from 1 species
UACGGGGGGGGCAAGCGUUGUUCGGAAUUACUGGGCGUAAAGGGCUCGUAGGCGGCCAACUAAGUCAGACGUGAAAUCCCCAGGCUCAACCUGGGAACUGCGUCUGAUACUGGAUGGCUUGAAUCCGGGAGAGGGAUGCAGAAUUCCAGGUGUAGCGGUGAAAUGCGUAGAUAUCUGGAGGAACACCGGUGGCGAAGGCGGCAUCCUGGACCGGUAUUGACGCUGAGGCGCGAAAGCCAGGGGAGCAAACGGG